AAUUAAAUUUAAAUAGGCAAAAGUCUAUUAAUAUGCCAAAAAUAAUUUGUAAAUUGUGAGCAAAUAUAGACCCCUUGCCCACACUACUAGAAGUGGUCUUUCAGGGGAGAAAGCACGACCCUCUGAUUUGUCUUUCUUCCUCUGCAAAUGGUUUUUAAGCAAAUUCUUGGGAACCCAUCAAUCUGCCAAUUAGAAGAAAAUGCAAGAGUAACAGCAGGAAUCAUGACUGCAAGGAAACAGUUACCAUCCCAUAAAAUUAUUGCCUUUACCAAAUUAGAAUAAACCUGUCAAGACAACGUUUAACUAUCUUUAUGUAAAAAUCAAAACGGUCUGACUUCAACUGUCAAACAGAGUCUUCGAACUUGUCUGUAACAAAGUGCUCCCUUAGUAAGUCGUAUAGUUCAAGUUGCAUUUGCAAUUUGGGGAAAUGGAGCUGCCUGGCCCAUGAAUCCAGCAAGCUCGACUUUUCUAUGGCUGCUGUUCCUGUAGAACGACUGGCUCAUUUAGUUGGCUGGGCAGUUGCAGCAGGCUGGGUGGGUGUUGCUCCUGCAGGAAAACUAUGAAAUAAAAUAUCAUUGCACCUACCUCACUGAUCAAUAACAUAAAAGGAAAAAAAUCUAGCUCCUCUAUUUGGACAAAAGGCAAUUUUCUGUGGCUUCUCACAUUUGCUAGAACUUUACAAAUAUGUAUCACAAACUACCAGAUGAGACAAAUCGGUACAAUACUAGUUAUUUUUAUGUGCUGCCUCAUCCUUUAUACAAAGUAUCUCAGAUCACUUUAAAGUGAGAGGUCAGAAUGGAAAGUGUGAUUUAUAGAGCCUAAGGGACCAAGGCGAAGGCUGCAGAAUAGGCAAACGGCCCACUAAGGAUUCUGGGAAAGGAAGGCAGGCUAGGAGUCAGAUGCAGACCUCACUGCAGCCCCUUCCAGAGACCAGG
rnacentral:lncRNA from 1 species